rnacentral:ncRNA from 1 species
GCUGUACCCUCUCCGUUUUACCCCUGUGUAGCCUUAGUGAUUUCACUGAACCGACCGCCCUUUGCGGUCGGUUUUUUU